rnacentral:rRNA from 1 species
UACGGAGGAUCCAAGCGUUAUCCGGAUUCGUUGGGUUUAAAGGGUGCGUAGGCGGAAUAGUAAGUCAGUGGUGAAAUCCUGUCGCUUAACGACAGAACUGCCAUUGAUACUGCUAAUCUUGAGUACAUUUGAAGUGGGCGGAAUGUGUAGUGUAGUGGUGAAAUACUUGGAUAUUACACAGAACACCGAUUGCGGAGGCAGCUCACUAAACUGUAACUGACGCUGAGGCACGAAAGCGUGGGGAUCAAACAGG